rnacentral:rRNA from 1 species
GAUGAACGCUGGCGGCGUGCCUAACACAUGCAAGUCGAGCGAUUCACUUCGGUGAAGAGCGGCGGACGGGUGAGUAACGCGUGGGUAACCUGCCUCAUACACAUGGAUAACAUACCGAAAGGUAUGCUAAUACAAGAUGAUAUAAGAGAUUCGCAUGGAUUUCUUAUCAAAGCUCCGGCGGUAUGAGAUGGACCCGCGUCUGAUUAGCUAGUUGGUAAGGUAACGGCUUACCAAGGCGACGAUCAGUAGCCGACCUGAGAGGGUGAUCGGCCACAUUGGAACUGAGACACGGUCCAAACUCCUACGGGAGGCAGCAGUGGGGAAUGUUGCACAAUGGGCGAAAGCCUGAUGCAGCAACGCCGCGUGAGCGAUGAAGGCCUUGGGGUCGUAAAGCUCUGUCCUCAAGGAAGAUAAUGACGGUACUUGAGGAGGAAGCCCCGGCUAACUACGUGCCAGCCGCCGCCGUAAGAC